rnacentral:rRNA from 1 species
GAUGAACGCUGGCGGCGUGCCUAAUACAUGCCAGUCGAGCGAACGGACGAGAAGCUUGCUUCUCUGAUGUUAGCGGCGGACGGGUGAGUAACACGUGGAUAACCUACCUAUAAGACUGGGAUAACUUCGGGAAACCGGAGCUAAUACCGGAUAAUAUUUUGAACCGCAUGGUUCAAAAGUGAAAGACGGUCUUGCUGUCACUUAUAGAUGGAUCCGCGCUGCAUUAGCUAGUUGGUAAGGUAACGGCUUACCAAGGCAACGAUGCAUAACCGACCUGAGAGAGUGAUAGGCGACACGGGAACUGAGACAGGGUCCAGACUCCUACGGGAGGCAGCAGUAGGGAAUCUUCCGCAAUGGGCGAGAGCCUGACGGAGCAACGGCGCGUGAGUGAUGAAGGUCUUCGGAUCGUAAAACUCUGUUAUUAGGGAAGAACAUAUGUGUAAGUAACUGUGCACAUCUUGACGGUACCUAAUCAGAAAGCCACGGCUAACUACGUG